AUUGAACGCUGGCGGCAUGCUUUACACAUGCAAGUCGAACGGUAACAGCCCUUCGGUGGCUGACGAGUGGCGAACGGGUGAGUAAUUCACCGGAACGUGCCUAGUAGUGGGGGAUAAUUACUCGUAAGAGUAGCUAAUACCGCAUGAGAUCUACUGAUGAAAGCAGGGGACCUUCUGCCCUUGCGCUACUUGUGCGGCUGAGGCCAGAUGAGGUUGGUGGUGGGGUAAAUGCUUACCAAGCCGAGGAUCUGUAGCUGAUAUGAGAGGACGGACAGCCAGACGGGGACAGAGAAAGGGCGCAGACACCGACGGGAGGCAGCAGUGGGGAAUUUUAGAGAAUGGGGGAAAGCGUGAUACAGCAAAGCCGCGGGCAGGAUGAAGGAGUGCGGGUUGUAAACUGCUGAUGUACGGAAGGAAAAGACGUCUUAUAAGAAAGGAGGGUAAUGACGGUACCGAAAGAAGAAGCACCGGCUAACUACGUG
rnacentral:rRNA from 1 species